rnacentral:misc_RNA from 1 species
UCCAAGAUCUUUCUGUGCUUAGCAUUAAGUUCUUUAGAAACGUUGGCCUUCUCGUUCAUGUUUGGCAGAAUCUCUAUUAUCUAUCUCUUCUUUCCACAAAAAAGAAAGAAAAAGAUUUAUUAAAAGUUUCUUCAAAUACCCUUCUCCUCUUUCUUUAUCUGUCACCUCAGGACCAAAGAGAACAUUCAGAUAAAGGAAGCUGAUAAGUAGAAGAAGAAGGAGAAGAAAUGGCAAAGUGGG